CUUUUACAUAUGCACCUGUAGGAAUAGUCAGCCAAGCCUAGAUUUCCCCUGAUCCAGCUCACAUGAGGCCAACAGGUGGUGUAGCUUUGCCUG